GUUGGGCGGCUGAGUUUCGUCACCGUCAAGAUGAGGUUCUCCUUCCAUUCCUGACGUAGUCGAUCUCAGCUCCGGUUAGGAUGAGGUUCUUCUCCUGUUCCCAAUGGGGCCACGGGGGCACAUAAGGGCCAUUGCAAGGGUCUCUCCCCCCAUCCAGUCUAAAAGAACCAGGCCUUCGACUUUGCUCAUGUCAGGAUGAGGUUCUCCCCCUGUUCCUGACAUGGCUGUGGGGGCACAUUAGGGCAUUGUAAGGCCUCUCCCCCCAUCCGGUCUAAAAGAACCGGGCCUUUGACUUUGCUCAUGUCAGGAUGAGGUUCUCCUCCUGUUCCUGACAUGGCUGUGUGGGCGCAUUAGGGCAUUG
rnacentral:lncRNA from 1 species